rnacentral:rRNA from 1 species
AGAGAGAGACAUGCGCGCAUAUCAAUAAGCGGAGGAAAAGAAACUAACUAGGAUUCCCUCAGUAACGGCGAGUGAAGCGGGAAGAGCUCAAAUUUGAAAUCUUCAAGGUUCUACCUUGACGAAUUGUAGUUUAAAGAAGUGUUUUCUGUUGGAGUUUUGGUAAAAGUUCUUUGGAAUAGGACAUCAUAGAGGGUGAGAAUCCCGUAUUUGACCAUUAUUUCAACUUUGUGAUACACUUUCAAAGAGUCGGAUUGUUUGGGAAUGCAGUCCAAAAUGGGUGGUAAAUUUCAUCUAAAGCUAAAUAUUGGCGAGAGACCGAUAGCGAACAAGUACCGUGAGGGAAAGAUGAAAAGAACUUUGAAAAGAGAGUUAAACAGUACGUGAAAUUGUCAAAAGGGAAGCGUUUGACACCAGUGUUGUUUUUCUGAAAAUCAAUUAAAGAACUGUUUAUGCUAAGCUGUUUAGACUUUAUCAGCUAUCUGUUUAGUUUUGAGCUUUUCUUUAAUGCACUUUUCAGUUAACAAGUCAACAUCAAUUUCUUUUGCUGUAAAAAAGCUUGAGGAAGGUGGCUUGAGAUUCGUCUUAAGUGUUUAUAGCCUCUUGCCUAUGCAGUCGGAGAGAUUGAGGUCUGCAGCGUAGAUCCUUCGGGGCUAAAUGCAUUUGUGCUAAGUUAUAGCAUUUUAUAGACAACUUGUUGACUAUGAUUUGUCUUGUAGCUUACUCGCUUAUGUUAUUUUACCUACGCUUAGGAUGUUGACGCAUGAGAUAUACGC